rnacentral:rRNA from 1 species
UGCGGUUAAAAAGCUCGUAGUUGGAUUUCUGUCGAAAACGGCCGGUCCGCACUAUGUGCGUGUAUCUGGUUCGGUUUUGGCAUCCUCUUGAAGAACGUGUCUGCGCUUGAUUGCGUGGCGCGGUAUUCAAGACUUUUACUUUGAGGAAAUUAGAGUGUUCACGGCAGGCAAGCGCUUUGAAUAUAUUAGCAUGGAAUAAUAAUAUAGGAUUUUGGUUCUAUUUUGUUGGUUUCUAGGACUAGAAUAAUGAUUAAUAGGGAUAAUUGGGGGGCAUUUGUAUUAACGCGUCAGAGGUGGAAUUCUUGGAUCGCGUUACGACAAACUACUGCGAAAGCAUUUGCCAAGGAUGUUUUCAUUGAUCAAGAACGAAAGUAUGGGGAUCGAAGAUGAUUAGAUACCGUCGUAGUCUAUACCAUAAACUAUGCCAACUAGAGAUUGGAGGUCGUUCUUUCUAUGACUCCUUCAGCACCUUAUGAGAAAUCAAAGUCUUUGGGUUCCGGGGGGAGUAUGGUCGCAAGGCUGAAACUUAAAGGAAUUGACCGAAGGGCACCACCAGGAGUGGAGCCUGCGGCUUAAUUUGACUCAACACGGGGAAAACUCACCAGGUUCCAGACAUAGUAA